CAUUGAAACACCACUUCCUGUAUGAUCACCAAAGUUAAGCAAUGUCAAGCCUGGUCAGUUCCAAGAUAGGUGAGUGCUUGGGAAUACCAAGUGCUGUAAG